UUGGGGCUGAGCCUGAGAGGUGGUCUCUCUCUGGAUAUGUGGAUUACAGCAGUAAAUACAGACUGUUAGCCAUGGCCAUUUUCCACUGGGUGGACAAUUCCUGCCUGUGUUUCCAUUUCUGGGAGGAUACAACAAGAUGAUGCAUGAAAAAGUCCCAGGACAAGGAAGACACCAGCAAAGAUAUUGUCUAUCUGCUGUUGGUUAAAUCUGAGGAUGUAUAGCUGGGCAUCGUGGCACACACCUGUAACCCCAGCUACUCAGGAGACUGCGGCAGGAGAAUCGCUUGAGCCUGGG